GAUGAAGAACGCAGCAAAAUGCGAUAAGUAAUGUGAAUUGCAGAAUUCAGUGAAUCAUCGAAUCUUUGAACGCACAUUGCGCCCGCCAGUAUUCUGGCGGGCAUGCCUGUUCGAGCGUCAUUUCAACCCUCAAGACCCCUUCGGGGGACUUGGUGUUGGGGACCGGCACAGGGGCCUGCCUGCUUGUCUUGCAGCGCCCUCGCCGCCCCCGAAAUGAAUUGGCGGCCUCGUCGCGGCCUCCCCUGCGUAGUAGCACAACCUCGCAACGGGAACGUGACGGCGGCCACUGCCGUAAAACAACCCCAAUUUUAUUAGAGUUGACCUCGAAUCAGGUAGGAAUACCCGCUGAACUUAAGCAUAUCAAUAAGCGGAGGA
rnacentral:misc_RNA from 1 species